rnacentral:rRNA from 1 species
CCUACUGGUGUCUGCAGUGGGGAAUCUUGCGCAAUGGGCGAAAGCCUGACGCAGCGACGCCGCGUUAGGGAUUAAGGUCUUCGGAUCGUAACCCUCUGUCAGCAGGGAAGAACGGUCACUGUGCUAAUCAGCAGUGAAUUGACGGUACCUGCAACGGCAGCACCGGCUACGUCCGUGCCAGCAGCCGCGGUAAUACGGAGGGUGCGAGCGAUAAUCGGAAUUACUUGGCGGAAGGGGAGAGUAGACGGCCAUGCAAGCCAGGGGUGAAAGCCCGGGGCCCAACCCCGGGACUGCCCUUGGAACUGCAUGGCUGGAGGGCGGGAGGGGCAGGAGGAAGUCCUGGUGUAGAGGGGAAAUGAGUAGAUAUCAGGAGGAACACCGGCGGCGAAGGCGGCCUGCUGGACCGCGACUGACGUUGAGGCUCGAAAGCGUGGGGAGCGAACAGGAUUAGAUACCCCAGUAGUC